rnacentral:lncRNA from 1 species
CCCUAAGACACUCUUCUUGGACCUGACUUAAACACAUAAGGCCCAAGCCCAAUCACACACUAAAAUAACACAUAAUAUUAAAACAUAAGCCCAAAACAUGGCCCAACACUCUAAAACUUAAAAGAUAAAAUAUGGCUAGAAUACAAGCCCAAACAAAGGUAAAAUAAAAUAAGUGUUCAAAUAAUAAAACAUAGCAAGCCCAUCAUAACAAAGCUGAAUCUUCACAAAAGCCUUACUUGAUCUUCACUUUAGGCUUCCCUUUGUGUAGUUUUAGCCCAUAGGUUUGAUUAGGCUCCCUAAGCCUAUGAUUACAAGUGUUGCACCAAAUCUGUCCCAUAUGAGUUGAAGCAUGCCCCAAAUAUAUAUGGAUCAUAUGAAUAUGAUUUUGAACUCCUUUUAGAUCCAUUUAAAUGACAUAAGUUUACUCCACACCAUUGUUAGAAAUUUGCCCUAUUGGAUCUGUAUCAUUCUCUCCUUCUUUAAAAAAGAUUCGUCCUCGAAUCUUGCUGAUAUUUAUGUCAAAAACGGAAGCUUUAGGAACCCAUGUAUUUUCAAAGACCUCCUUUUGAAUAGGUGGAAAUAGGAUAAAACUUUCGUCAUGAAUGUUUUCAUCAACAACCUGCACAUCAAGAACAAAUGAACUAGGCAUAAAAAUAUUAAUCAUAGAAAGAUCAUUUGGAUGUGACCCAUUCUCCUCUACAACUUCCAAAACAGUCUCAUUCGCCUCCUCCACCUCAUCAAUCACGUGCUCCCCAUGUCCCUCAUCAUUCACAACCUCUUCUAUAAGUUCAUUGAUGGAAUUCUCAACAACAACUACAUUAGAUUCAUGCAUUACAACUUCCUCUUCAAUUUCAAUCUCUAUGGAAGUUGAGAUUGGAACUUUAGCCUCUUCUUUCUCCUUUUCUUUCUCCACCUUUCCUCCUUGAACUAGUCUUGAUUCUUUUCCAGCCUCUUUACCCUCAAACUCACUCUUUUCUCUCAUCUUUUCCGCAGAAUUCAAGCUCUCACUCCCCUUUGUGGCCAAGGCCGAAGCCUCCCUCUCCCUCUCUAUCAUCUUUAUUUGAUCAACAUAUACCUCUUGAGGUGAUAAAGGAGCGAGUAUAACCUUCUGUCCUUCAUGAGUGAAUGAGUACUUGUUAUUAAACCCAUCAUAUUGCAUCUGUCUAUCAUGUUGCCACGGUCUACCCAACAACAUAUGGCUUGCCUGCAUAGGUACCACAUCACACAAUAUCUCAUCCUUGUACCUACCAAUAGAAAAUGGUAUAACCACCUGGCGUGUAACCCUAACCUCACCACAUUCAUUCAACCAUUGCAAUCUGUAUGGCUUAGGGUGUUCAAUAGAAGUCAAGCCCAAUUUCUCCACCAUAUACACACUUGCCACAUUUGUGCAACUACCUCCAUCAAUAAUGAGAGUACACACUUUUCCAUUAACCAAACACCUAGUGUGAAAUAUGUUUUCCCGUUGUUCUAGGCUUUCUUUCUUAACCUGCAUAUUCAGAGCACGCCUAGCAACAAGCAUCUCAUAAUGUGCAGCAAGCAACACAUUAUUAACCAACACAUCCGAAUCAUCACAGUCAUUAUUGCAAUUAAGAGUUCUUUGAGGUAUUCUUGUAGAAGUGGAAGCUUGUGAGACAUUCAAACUCUCGAUAGUUUCAGUCAACCUCUCAAGAGUCUUAUUAAGCCUUUGUAACUCACCACUGACUGACUUCUUAAAGAGCUUAUAAUCGUUACCCAUAUUCGAUUUACUUCUAUCAGUACGAUCCACCACACUCUUGUCUUUACUCAUCCUACCUUAAAUCAACAAAUAACAAAAAGAACUAGCAAAUAUUGUAUUAAAAAAAAAAGUACUCAAGUGUUUGCACUCUUACCAUUCUUUUGCUGAUUCUUCAAUUGCACUUCAGAAACUAAGGUCAGCCAACCAACCACAAGGUGCGUUUAAUGAAACAAAGAAGAAAACCUAAAGAAAGAAGGAAGUGAACAAAAAAUAGAAAGAAGACACUGACAAUUUGGAAAGUAACACACAAACUGGGUUUUGUGCUACUUGAAAAAUAUCACCUAGAGUAUAGACAUAAGCAAAAUACGAUCCACCACACUCUUGUCUUUACUCAUCCUACCUUAAAUCAACAAAUAACAAAAAGAACUAGCAAAUAUUGUAUUAAAAAAAAAAGUACUCAAGUGUUUGCACUCUUACCAUUCUUUUGCUGAUUCUUCAAUUGCACUUCAGAAACUAAGGUCAGCCAACCAACCACAAGGUGCGUUUAAUGAAACAAAGAAGAAAACCUAAAGAAAGAAGGAAGUGAACAAAAAAUAGAAAGAAGACACUGACAAUUUGGAAAGUAACACACAAACUGGGUUUUGUGCUACUUGAAAAAUAUCACCUAGAGUAUAGACAUAAGCAAACAAUACUCCAGCAAUGUCAAGGAAGUAAAAGCAAGCUUAAACCAAAAACGAAACUUUAAAUUCAAAUAAAAAUGAAUCUGGACAAAAGUUUGAAUUUAAUUCGUUUCAACGCAAAUUAAAUAUAGAUCUAUUUAAAUCUACCCAAAAAGGAAAGUAUCAAAACCCACAAAUAGACUAAAAAAAAAUAUAUAUAUAUAUCUCACUUAGUGCUGCAUCAUGGACGAAAAUGGGCAUUAAAAGAUGGAUUUGAAACCAAAUCGAUUUAGAUGCAGUUGCCUUAAAUGUGCACCUUAAGAAAUAGACAGAUUUCUUUUUCUCCUAAUCUGGAUUCAACUCAAUUCAAAAUUCAAACUUGAUUCCCAUAAACUACAGCAAUCAAUUGAGAUAGGUAAUGAAAUAUAGAUGAAAAAGGAAGUAUAUCACAAUUUCGGCCAGAUCAAGAUUAAUAUGGCAAAGGCGAUUUUUUUUUUCAUUUUUUUUUUUGGAUGUCGAAUUUUCUUCCAAAAGAGAUUAUGUGAUAAUUUAUCAAGAAGAUGCAGCCAUGAAUACAAAAGCUUUCACCGAAAUCAAUAACGAAGGAAAGAAAACUCAAAAAAAUAACUCUAGAUCCUGAGAUAAAUAAGAAUUUACCUCACUUUGGCUCUGAUACCAACUGACGCGGAACCCUAUGGCACAAGCCUCAAACCCACACGCACAAGUAGAUACGGAAUCUAAAGAUCUGAUAAACCCACCUCCUAUGACACCCCAAACUUAGAGAAGCUGAAACACCAAUGAUCGAAGGAUUUAGAUGAGAAUCCGACAAACGCCACAACGAAUAGUUGAUAAGUUAGCCAAGAUUCCUGGUGCAAUUGAUGAAAGCAAAUCCUCACUCUCACUCAAAGCAAUACACGCCAGAGGCAUGAAAAAAAUUCUGAAAAGUUUGAUUAAAAGCUGCCUCUUACAAUUGUUUCUCAUCCUUAUAUAGUAAGGAGAAAAACAAAUAAAACCCUAAGACACUCUUCUUGGACCUGACUUAAACACAUAAGGCCCAAGCCCAAUCACACACUAAAAUAACACAUAAUAUUAAAACAUAAGCCCAAAACAUGGCCCAACACUCUAAAACUUAAAAGAUAAAAUAUGGCCAGAAUACAAGCCCAAACAAAGGUAAAAUAAAAUAAGUGUUCAAAUAAUAAAACAUAGCAAGCCC